GAAACUCGGGGUUCUCCUUCUCCAAUCUCCAGGCUCCACACGUCGUGCUGACGGUUGUCCGGGUUGCCCGAGGCGGGACGUGGCGACGCUGGCGGCCCGCAACGUGCACCAUGGACGCACGCCUGUGGUGCUGGUGCGAACCGGUUAAUGGCCGACCAACCAGCAGAUACCGGGCAGAUUCGCAGAUGCGAUGCCCUGAGUAUUCUCGCACCCGCGGUCUGGCGCGUGGCGUCUGGGUCUGGCUGAAAUUUCACCGAGAGCCCCGACAAGCAACGUCGCUGGUGCACCCCCAUCCACCGCGCGAAGGGAAACGACGAAAGGCCAGCAUCGGAAGAACUCGGAGUGAAGUGACAUGGUAAAGAAAAAAAAAGCUAAAAUUAAUUACGUGAAGUUGUUCUCUCUAAAUUCACGUUUACAACCAUCUAUCCAGCAAAAUAUAUAUGUUUUUAUAUAACCUAUAUUUAUACCACCGUUGUAACGUAUGAGUAUUUUUUGCUAGUAUUUAUAAAUUUCGCUGUUUGAAUGAGUUUAGCUAUUGAGGUUUUAGGGUUACUGGAAAAAGGGAUGGCACGGGGACGGCGGUGCUGUUGUUGAAUCGUUCUCAAGGCUAGUGUCUGACGUUUACUGCAUGAUGAAAGAUUAUUUCCGGACAUGCGCUGAACAUCACUUUAGCUGACUUUAUUUUACAGCUUUACAAAAAGACAGG
rnacentral:lncRNA from 1 species